AUGGUAACCAUGAAACCAAACAACCUGAUUACAUUACCGGGUAUAGGACCCAUACCCAUGAUUCCAAAAGACCUAACACUUUCUAUGGUAAAGAUGAAGUCAAAGAGGAAGAUUACAUUACUGGGUAUAGGACUCAUACCCACGAAUCCAAUGGCCCUUACAGAACGGCCUAUGGUAAACAUGAGGCGAAUCAACCAGAUUACAUCACCGGGUAAAGGACUCAUACUGAUGAGUUGA